GAUGAAGAACGCAGCGAAAAGCGAUACUUGGUGUGAAUUGCAGAAUCCCGUGAACCAUCGAGUUUUUGAACGCAAGUUGCGCCCGAAGCCGUUAGGCCGAGGGCACGCCUGCCUGGGUGUCACAGAUCGUUGCCCCAAUGCCAAUCGCCUCACUUUGUAGGUAUUUGCUUGGGGUGAAUGUUGGCCUCCCGUGAGCUUUGUCUCACGGUUGGUUGAAAAUCGAGUGCAUGGUGUCGGGUGUACCAUGAUGGAUGGUGGUUGAGUGAUGAUGCUCGAGACCAAUCAUGGGUAACUCCACCAGAAUUGGGCUCGGUGACCCACAUGCGUCCCUUGGAUGCUCCCUAAGGAGACCUCAGGUCAGGCGGGGCUACCCGCUGAGUUUAAGCAUAUCAAUAAGCGGAGGA
rnacentral:misc_RNA from 1 species